rnacentral:rRNA from 1 species
UGGGGAAUAUUGCGCAAUGGGGGAAACCCUGACGCAGCGACGCCGUGUGAGGGAUGAAGGCUUUCGGGUCGUAAACCUCUGUCGGGAGGGAAGAACCGCUGGAUGUCGAAUAAACGUCCAGCCUGACGGUACCUCCAAAGGAAGCACCGGCUAACUCCGUGCCAGCAGCCGCGGUAAUACGGAGGGUGCAAGCGUUAAUCGGAAUCACUGGGCGUAAAGCGCGCGUAGGCUGUCUCAUAAGUCGGAUGUGAAAGCCCUCGGCUCAACCGAGGAACUGCAUUCGAAACUGCGAGACUGGAGUACGGGAGAGGGUGGCGGAAUUCCCGGUGUAGGAGUGAAAUCCGUAGAGAUCGGGAGGAACACCAGUGGCGAAGGCGGCCACCUGGACUGUAACUGACGCUGAGGCGCGAAAGCGUGGGUAGCAAACA